rnacentral:rRNA from 1 species
UCUAUUUGAAGAUAUAAGAAGUCUGACCUGCCCACUGAUGGAGUUAGUAGUUUAAGGGCCGCGGUAUUAUGACCGUGCAAAGGUAGCAUAAUCAUUAGGUUUUUAAAUGAGAUCUCGUAUGAAUGGUUUGACAAAGGAAAAGCUGUCUUUAAGUUAGUAUUUGAAUUUAACUUUUAAGUGAGAAGGCUUAAAUAUUUUAGUAGGACGAUAAGACCCUAUAAAGCUUUAUAUUGUAGUUGUAUUUAAUUGAAUUUUAUAGAUAAAAAUUUUAUAUAAUUAUUUAUUUUGUUGGGGAGACAUGAGUAAAAAUUAUAUUAACUGCUCAAAAAAUAAACAUUUAUUGAUGGGUAGGUUAUAGAUCCUAGAUAUAGAUUUUAAGAUUAAGUUACUUUAGGGAUAACAGUGUAAUUUUUUUUGAGAGUCCAUAUCGAAAAAAAAGUUUGCAACCUCGAUGUUGAAUUAAAUUGUCUAUAUAAUGUAGCUGUUAUAUAAGAAGGUCUGUUCGACCUUUAAUUU